AACGACUCUCGGCAACGGAUAUCUCGGCUCUCGCAUCGAUGAAGAACGUAGCGAAAUGCGAUACUUGGUGUGAAUUGCAGAAUCCCGUGAACCAUCGAGUCUUUGAACGCAAGUUGCGCCCGAAACCAUUAGGUUGAGGGCACGUCUGCCUGGGCGUCACGCA
rnacentral:rRNA from 1 species